rnacentral:rRNA from 1 species
AAAUUACGCCUUCCAUGAAGCUGGAAUUGCUAGUAAUGGCAGGUCAGCAUACUGCCGUGAAUACGUUCCCGGGCCUUGUACACACCGCCCGUCACACCAUGAGAGUUGGGAAUACCCGAAGCCUGUGAGCUAACCGCAAGGAGGCAGCAGUCGAAGGUGGGGUUGAUGAUUGGGGUGAAGUCGUAACAAGGUAGC